UGUUCAAAUCCCAGAAUGGUUCUAAUACAG
rnacentral:piRNA from 1 species